UACGUAGGGUGCGAGCGUUAAUCGGAAUUACUGGGCGUAAAGCGUGCGCAGGCGGUUUUGUAAGCCAGGUGUGAAAUCCCCGGGCUCAACCUGGGAAUGGCAUUUGGGACUGCAAGGCUGGAGUGUGGCAGAGGAGACUGGAACUCCUGGUGUAGCAGUGAAAUGCGUAGAUAUCAGGAGGAACACCGAUGGCGAAGGCAGGUCUCUGGGCUGACACUGACGCUCAUGCACGAAAGCGUGGGGAGCAAACAGG
rnacentral:rRNA from 1 species